CUCUUAUUAACUUCUGUCUCAUUAUAGGCUCUGUCUUCUUGGCUCUCUCUUGUCAUUUGGAUUUUAAAUUCUUAAUAAGGAACAUGUUUGAUAUUAUCACGACAGCUCGGAUGGGUCAGCGAGCAGUUUAAGAGAUGGAAACUACUUCACUGAGGGGGAACAAGUAAAGGAUCGCAGGAGGGGCUGGAGCCUGUCCCAGCUACCAUGGGGUACACCCUGGACAGGUCACCAGUCUGUAGCAGGGCUAACACAGGAGGAAGCUGGAGUACCCGGAGAGAACCCACGCAACCACGGGGAGAACAUGCAAGCUCCACAAAGAAAGGAAGGCCCCAGCCAGGAAUGAAACUCAGGACCUUCUUGCUGUGAGGCAGAAGUGCUAAUCACCGUGCUGCCCCAGGGCAAAAUAAAUAGAUGAAAACAAAAAUAUAUUUGUCAAGCUCCUAAAAGACUGAAAGUAUGAGAAGACCUAAUCAAACAAAGUCUUUCUACUCUACUAAUUUCCAUCUCCGUACAGCUGUCUGUCUUUCACAUUCACAGACAGUUUAUUACAGUGGAACACUUGAUUAGAUGGAAUUAGUGAUCUGCAGCCUUCAUCCUUCAGAGGUUGAAGGCUCUCUUAGUUGGGGGCAGAUCGAUGCACUGUUAGCUUCUGUCCCCACAGCCUAUGAUUCUUCAGCACUGCCUCACAGACCUACACUCUCCUGCUCUGCUGUGUAGUUUGAAGGUCAAAGGUCAUAACCAGGGUUUAAAAAGGGUAAAGAAAAAAUUUAUAUACAUCUAUAUACACACAAAAAGCUGGAGAUUUAUUCUGAACUUCAACAACAAUUAAAAGUGAGAGGACUAUUUGUGCUGUUGACAUCAUCUCUUAUCAAAACAAAACGAUCAUGAAUGUUGUGACAACGAUGCCGUCUGUGCUUGUGUAGUUGCUGCAGUAUAUCACCAAGCAUUAAUUGGAAAUGUAUAUGGUAAGGCUUUACAAAGAUCUUGGUCACGAACAUGUCAGGCCUAAUUUGACAGAGAUAAAGUAAUCUUUAAAAUGCUACACCAAACACCUGCCAAAUCCUCCGUGCAGCUGUCAGUCAAUCUGUCAGUGUCCUACAUGGACCUAUAGUCCAGUACAGUCCAUGACUGUCUGCAUCCACCAGGCUUGCAUCUAUUUUUAGGAUGCAUCAUGCUUUCUGUUGUGUGUGGGUGUGUGUGUGUGUGUGUGUAUGUGUGUGUGUGUUGGCUCUAUAUUAGGGGUGUGACAGCAUGUCGUGGAAAGAUGAGAAGCCGUUUUCUCUGCCAGCAGAACGUGACCCAGUAUGUCUUUCUACUCAACUACAAGCUCUCUGUCUCAGUUUGCAUUUCAUUCAGUGUUAACACUUUUUUGGCAUGGCUGUGCGUGUUAACGAAGGAAUAAGCAUGUACUAUUUAUUUCAAAGCCUACUUUAAUUUUAAUGACUACUGGAUUUUAUUCAUAUUUUUACAGAAAGUGUACAUUAU